rnacentral:tRNA from 1 species
GCGGAAGUGGCGAAAAUGGUAGACGCACCAGAUUUAGGUUCUGGCGCUGAAAAGUUUGCGAGUUCAAAUCUCGCCUUCCGCA